GGCGCUGUAGUGUAGAGGUUAUCACUCGAGAUUCUGAUGAUACGAUUUCUCGAAACCCAGGUUCGAGUCCUGGCAGAGCCU